UCCUGGCUCGAAGGACAACGGCUGGCGGCGUGCCUAACACAUGCAAGUCGAGCGGAGACUUACGGGAAUGAAGCUUCGGCAGAAUGAAGUAAGUUUUAGCGGCGGACGGGUGAGUAACGCGUGAGCAACCUUUCUCAUUCAGGGGGAUAACACAUCGAAAGGUGUACUAAUACCGCAUAAGACCACAGAGUGACAUCGCUUAGGGGUCAAAGGAGCAAUCCGGAAUGAGGUGGGCUCGCGUCUGAUUAGCUAGUUGGUGAGGUAAACGGCCCACCAAGGCGACGAUCAGUAGCCGACCUGAGAGGGUGAUCGGCCACACUGGGACUGAGACACGGCCCAGACUCCUACGGGAGGCAGCAGUGGGGAAUAUUGGGCAAUGGGGAAAACCCUGACCCAGCAACGCCGCGUGAGGGAAGAAGGUCUUCGGAUCGUAAACCUCUGUCCUUAGUGAAGAGACGGAGACGGUAGCUAAGGAGGAAGCCCCGGCUAACUACGUG
rnacentral:rRNA from 1 species